rnacentral:lncRNA from 1 species
AGGAAUCUAGUCCUCUUGGCAUCCGUUCCCACUCACAAUUACUAAUAUUACUAGCUCUGGGAAAUGGAUAACCGGCUCCCCAACAUCAGCCGUCCGAUUUUCUUGAGAUUCAAUCCAGUUCUGCAAUAACUCUCUAUUUAUAGGUUUUUGGCGAUUCCUCUUCUCCCCAUGUUCUGCACAAUCACCGGUGUCUACUCCCACAUCUGGAAUCGGUUUCCCUACCACGUUCCCAUGAACGGUUCCUCACCCCCAAGUUGUAUAAAUAGAUAGGAAAGAAAACCAAAGACCGGUUGCACCUUCAUAAAUAUUCAAUCGAUUCCUCCUCUAGAUUAAAUACGAAUUUGUGUUUAGACGUCGUCAUUGUCAAAUCAUCGAUGGAAAGGCAUGUAAAUCCACCAUUUAACGAAGACUGGCGACUGGAAAUGGCACUCACAAUUUCUUAUUCUCUUGAUCAUCAAUUCUCAUCUCCAAUGCUUCCGUCUUCUAAACACAUAUGGAGCUAACAUCGCCUGAAAUCUCUUCACCAAAGGUAAAAAUCGUUCACUUAAGUAUCUUUUAAGUUUGCAAAUUUCUAGGUUUUUAAUAUCCGAAAUCAAUUUCUAUUUGAUGGCAUCCCUAGAGACCUGGUCAUAGAAUAGCCAAAUCAGAGAUACUAAAAUCUGCUUCUUCCUUUUCUUCUGAGUUGAAUCCUUUCAUUGCUCAUGUGAUUAACUAUGGACGAGAGAUCAACCAAACAUAUGGGAAGUGUCGAUGCCUGAUUUGGCUCGAUUUGAACACUAAUUCCCUCAGUAGGAUCCUCCCCAUCUCCACCUUUUCUUUCUUUGCAAUCCAGGUCGCUGCACCAUUACGAUUGUAUCCUCGGCACUGCUUUCUUCUUGAAAAGGUUUAAUCGGUUGCCCCGGAUGAAAUGAUGGAACCUUACCUCUUAUAAGGUAACCAGUUUGUUAUUCUUUAUAUCUAUGAAUUUAUCACUAACAUUGAAACUAAAAAACGAAUCAAUCAUUUUUGUUUCUGAAGUUGAGUUUGAAGUUAUUCCUACUCUUGGAAUUUUCUGACGAGGGUUAGGCUUGUUAGUCAAUGGUUGACCAAGUAUUCAGGAGGGUAAAAGCACGUGGGUGACUGGAACGUUGGAAUAGGGAUGUUGCUAAUUUUUCUCUUUUUCUGUUAAGUAGCUUUAUUUGUUAGUUUUGAUUCAGCAAGUUAUAAUUAGUCGAAAAUUCCUGUAUAGCAAUUAGGCAUUUGAAGGCUUAUGAAGACCGACUCCGGCUCCGGAAGGCAAGCACACAGGCAGAUAAUGCCCUGCUACUUGCCAAGGCAGAAGGCACAUCAACCCACCGGAGUCCAAGUAAGCCAAACACAUCGGGUGGAGCUUCCAUGUGGCUUCUUCUUAUCGAUAAGUUCAAUAAAAACUAUCGAUGUGGAAAGCUAGAACUCUUUCAAUUGGAUAGCGUUUAACGCUUGUUAAGUUUGUGCUUGGAAGCCUUGGAAUGUACAUUUUAUCGAUCUAUAGUGUCCUAGAAAAAUCAUAACAAUGCUUGAAAGUAUCAGAAACGUGUUCCUUUUGGGAAAUUCUACAGUUCACAAAGAAAAUCACUUGGAUAGCUUAGAACAAAACGAUGAAAUCCAAAGAACUUGGUAGGUUGCAAAUUGGGAACUGAAAAGCUUUCAAUCUUAUUCUUAUCUUGAAAUGGUGGUGGAGGUUUAGGGUUCAUACUAACACAAUUUGGAAAAGCGUUAUUAGGUGCAUUUAUGGUGAUCGUGGGAGGUUCGGAUUGUCAACUUUAGUGUCUUAUAGGACGACCAUGUGGGGCAUAAUCAAUAAUGUCAACAUCGAUCUAGAACGUCUUAACAUCUACUUAAAUGAAUUCUUUUACAGAACUGGUGAUACAGGGGGAAGUCAUUCCCAUGAAAUUUGUGUUGGAGUAUCACUGAAGGAGGAGAGUUUAUUGUAUCUUCCCUAAGGAAGUAAAUUGACAAUAACUUCUUGGAUUGCACACACUUCUUACUAUCUAGUCUAAGUUGGUUCCAAAGAACAUAAACGUCUUCAUUUGUAGAUCAGGACUUAGGAGACAUUCCACUAGAUUGAAUCCAGCACGGAGGUAGUGAAUAUUUCACACAUCUCAUUUAUGUUGUGCAAUGCUUUUAAGGAGACGGAAGUACAUAUUUUCAAGGAUUGCUCCAUAACAGAGGAAUUAAAAGGAAAAAUGCUCACUUAGUGGAAAGACUUACCUGCCAUUAAUGACUCAUUAGAAGACGUGUUGGGGGUGAAUUUUAACUACACUAGGGGCAACAAUAGAGAAAAAAAUUUGGAGGCGAUUUUAAGGGCGUUCUUAUGGACCAUCUGAAUACGAACGAAAUAUAUUCAAUAACAAAGUGGAGGGAUCGAUUAUACUAGCUUAUGAUGCCAAGGCUUUGGCCUUUUAUGCCUAAGAAUAGAGCUAAUGCAGCAUCCCAUUUUCACAAACAAAAUUUUCAUGUUUAAUUUAGGUAAAACCACCAGUUCCAUAAAACCCAUGUUAAGAAAACCCCAUUUGUUCCAUGAUACACUAGUUUGAAAAUCAGAGUAAUAUAGUAAAUGUGUAAUCUCCAAAACUGAUGAUGAGUGUAUUGGAUUAAGGUGUCUAAGCCAGUGACUAACAACUAACUUGAUAUAUUCUUGUAAUUAGAAGCGAAUUCCAUUUCGGGUUGCCCUCAUGACCAAAACUGGCUACAAAUGAUUUUAGGAGAGAGAAGUAUAAUUUAUUAUAUUAUUAUAUGAUUAAUAAACUAAGUGGAAGUUAUACGGAAAUGAUUUGUUAAUAUAUUAUGUGAUUAAUAUAUUAAUUGGAGAUACAUAGUUGACUUGUUGAUUUAUUAUGUGAUUAAUAAAUUAAUAUAAGAUCAAAUGUGAAAUAAUUGUUUUGUUAAUUUAUAUUAUUAAUAAAUUAAUCCCAAUGGUUCGUGGAGAUGACAUAAAUUGACUUAUGACACUCACCAGAAAAGGAAUGUUUGGACGUGUAAUCGUCAGGUAGUUUAAUUUUGCUACAAUUCUUCUCUAUUUCUCUGGUUUCUCAAGCGGAUCUCCUUCAUCUACUUUCAAUUUCAUAUUUAGAACCACUGGAGACUCGUAAGGUUUUGUUUCAAUCAUCCCAAAUUCCUUCAAAAUAUCCAAGCAAUAUUUCCGCUGAGACAAACAGAUCCCUUUUCGAGUACGAGAGACUUCAAUUCCCAAAAAAUAUUUUAAAGGACCUAGGUCUUUUGUUUGAAACCGAGAUGCAAGGAAAUCUUUCAGCUUCUUAAUUCUAGUUCCAUCACUCCUUGUACUCACAAUCUCAUCAACAUAUACCACUAAUAGAAUGCAUCCUGAAGACGAUGAAGCAAAGAACACAAAAUGAUCAUAGCAAGUGAAUAUGGAUGAAACAUAGUAACCAAACAUCAUACAUUAAAGAUACCAACAUAUAUUGUUUACAAAUUGUACUUGUUCAUCGAUUACCCAAAAAUAACAUAAAUUAUGGUGUCUAAAAAGAAAAGUAGUAGGAUAUCCAGAUCCAAGGCUCGAGUACCUGUUCACUUGCUGAGUCCCUGAGAAUACAAGUCGUUUUGAAAAGCGACAACAUAGAAUGUUAGUGAGUUCAUCAGCAUAUUUGUAGGAAAAACUUUGUAAUAUCUUUGUUUAUAAUAAGUUAUAAAACUCCAUAAAAACCAAUAUUUUCUAUAAAAAGUAGUUUCUGAGUCUCGUUCCAAAAUUGUGUAUAGUUGCAUGCAUGUUCUUUAUUUUCCUUUGUUUGUAUUAUAAAGAGUGUAUUCCAGAAAAUCCUAUAUUUUCUGUAUAUAAAAGAGUUGUGGUCUUAAAACCCUAAGACCAGAGUGGUGAGAUUAGCUUGCUUACAAAGUAAACGAACAUAACUUUGUGCUUUAUAAAACUAGUAGAGUGUAUAUUCUUCGUAAAUCCUAAUUAAUAUAGUCCUUCUCUAUAUGAGUCGUUACAACCAUAUUAAUAUGACUAAAGUGCCUGUCUUGAUGUUCUUUAGGCGUCGACUUCUAAAGAUAUUUGUCACCCUAAACUGGCCCGUCUAGCUAUAGCGAACAACUCAGGUGUGGGGGUGUCAACCCGGUAUAAAUCUAUACACAAUUACCUCGCUCUCCCUUCAGGAGACUCUGGUUAUAACUAUAGGACUUAUGAUGUACGCUAGGUAGGUACGGCGAAGGAGAGUCUCACAAGAGCGUUAAC